rnacentral:rRNA from 1 species
UACGUAGGCAGCGAGCGUUGUUCGGAAUUACUGGGCGUAAAGAGUGUGUAGGCGGUGCUCCCAGUCUGUUGUGAAAUCUCCCGGCUUAACUGGGAGGGUGCAGCGGAAACUAGAGUGCUAGAGGGUGGGAGAGGUAAGCGGAAUUCCUGGUGUAGCGGGGAAAUGCGUAGAUAUCAGGAGGAACACCUGUGGUGUAGACAGCUUACUGGACCACUUCUGACGCUGAGACACGAAAGCGUGGGUAGCAAACAGG